UAAAGGAACGCAAGCUAAAAACGCGCCUUCCUGCCGCAACGCUUGCAUGAUCCGCAUCCUGCGG
rnacentral:sRNA from 1 species